GGUCAACAACCGGACCAGCAGCUGGAAGGUCACAGGGACCCAUGCCACCCCCACCAUGCACAGGAUGAGACAAUAUCUUGAAGACAGUCUAGAGAACAAUCUUUACAACCCAGAGGGACUGCAGAUCAGCCUUUAUGGCUCUGAGCUUUUCCACUUCCGUAUCUCUGUCAUUCCUGGAGUUGUGUUGUGUGACCUGGUGGAGGAGGUACAGAUCUACGUAGACGAGCCUCCGCGGCGUUCCCAACCCAACAACUCGUCAACAACAUGGCAGCCAUCAUCCUGAG